rnacentral:rRNA from 1 species
UAAUACAUGCAAGUCGAACGAAUCUUCUUCGGAAGAUGAGUGGCGAACGGGUGAGUAAUACAUAGGUAACCUGCCCCUGUGCGGGGGAUAACAGGAGGAAACUCCUGCUAAUACCGCAUAGCCAUGAGCACCGCAUGGAGCUCAUGCCAAAUAUCCUUUCGGGGAUAGCGCAGGGAUGGACCUAUGGCGCAUUAGCUGGUUGGCGGGGCAACGGCCCACCAAGGCAACGAUGCGUAGCCGGCCUGAGAGGGCGGACGGCCACAUUGGGACUGAGACACGGCCCAGACUCCUACGGGAGGCAGCAGUAGGGAAUUUUCGGCAAUGGGGGAAACCCUGACCGAGCAACGCCGCGUGAGCGAAGAAGGCCUUCGGGUCGUAAAGCUCUGUUGUAAAGGAAGAACGGCGCAUACAGGAAAUGGUAUGCGAGUGACGGUACUUUACCAGAAAGCCACGGCUAACUACGUGCCAGCAGCCGCGGUAAUACGUAGGUGGCGAGCGUUAUCCGGAAUCAUUGGGCGUAAAGAGGGAGCAGGCGGCCGCAAGGGUCUGUGGUGAAAGACCGAAGCUAAACUUCGGUAAGCCAUGGAAACCGGGCGGCUAGAGUGCGGAAGAGGAUCGUGGAAUUCCAUGUGUAGCGGUGAAAUGCGUAGAUAUAUGGAGGAACACCAGUGGCGAAGGCGACGGUCUGGG